rnacentral:rRNA from 1 species
CCUACGGGAGGCAGCAGUGAGGAAUAUUGGUCAAUGGGCGGGAGCCUGAACCAGCCAAGCCGCGUGAGGGAAGAAGGUACAGCGUAUCGUAAACCUCUUUUGUCAGGGAACAAAGGCGGGGACUAGUCCCCGGAUGAGGGUACCUGAAGCAAAAGCAUCGGCUAACUCCGUGGCCGCAGCCGCGGUAAUACGGAGGAUGCGAGCGUUAUCCGGAUUUAGUGGGUUUAAAGGGUGCGCAGGCGGCCUGUUAAGUCAGCGGUAAAAGCCCGGGGCUCAACCCUAGCGAGCUGUUGAAACUGGCGGGCUGGAGUUGGAGAGGGGUACGCGGAAUGCGCGGUGUAGCGGUGAAAUGCUUAGAUAUCGCGCAGAACACCGAUUGCGAAGGCAGCGUGCCGGCUCCACACUGACGCUGAGGCACGAAAGCGUGGGUAUCGAACAGGAUUAGAUACCCUUGUAGUC